GACAGAGGGUGCAAACGUUGUUCGGAAUUACUGGGCGUAAAGGGCGCGUAGGCGGCCUGCUAAGUCGAACGUGAAAUCUCCGAGCUUAACUCGGAAAGGUCAACUGAUACUGUGCGGCUAGAGUGCAGAAGGGGCAACUGGAAUUCUCGGUGUAGCGGUGAAAUGCGUAGAUAUCGAGAGGAACACCUGCGGCGAAGGCGGGUUGCUGGGCUGACACUGACGCUGAGGCGCGAAAGCUAGGGGAGCGAACGGG
rnacentral:rRNA from 1 species